rfam:Methanoplanus limicola DSM 2279 chromosome, whole genome shotgun sequence.
GGGCCUGUAGCUCAGUUAGGCAGAGCGCCUGACUUUUAAUCAGGUGGUCGGGGGUUCAAAUCCCCUCGGGCCCG